rnacentral:rRNA from 1 species
GACGGGGGGGGCAAGUGUUCUUCGGAAUUACUGGGCGUAAAGGGCUCGUAGGCGGCCAACUAAGUCAGACGUGAAAUCCCUAGGCUCAACCUAGGAACUGCGUCUGAUACUGGAUGGCUUGAAUCCGGGAGAGGGAUGCAGAAUUCCAGGUGUAGCGGUGAAAUGCGUAGAUAUCUGGAGGAAUACCGGUGGCGAAGGCGGCAUCCUGGACCGGCAUUGACGCUGAGGAGCGAAAGCCAGGGGAGCAAACGGG